rnacentral:rRNA from 1 species
AUGACGCUGGCGGCAUGCCUACACAUACAAGUCGAACGGCAGCGCGCACUUCGUUCUGGCGGCGAGUGGCGAACGGGUGAGUAAUACAUCGGAACGUACCCUGUUGUGGGGGAUAACUAGCCGAAAGAUUAGCUAAUACCGCAUACUGACCUGAGUGGUGAAAGCCGGGGGACCGUAAGAGCCUCGCGCAGCAGGAGCUGGCGAUGUCUGAUUAGCUAGUUGGUGGGGUAAAGGCCCACCAAGGCGACGAUCAGUAGCUGGUCUGAGAGGACGAUCAGCCACACUGGGACUGAGACACGGCCCAAACUCCUACGGGAGGCAGCAGUGGGGAAUUUUGGACAAUGGGGGCAACCCUGAUCCACCAAUGCCGCAGAUGUGUGAAGAAGGCCUUCGGGUUUGUAAAGCACUAUUAAGAUCCGGAAAGAAAACGUUCAUGGAUUAAUACCUGUGGGCGGCAUGACGGUACCGGAAGCAAUAAGCACCCGGCUAAACUACGUUGACCAGGCAAGACCGCAGGUAAUACCGAUAAGGUGCAC